rnacentral:RNase_P_RNA from 1 species
CGGGCCGGCCAGACGGUCGCGUCGCGUGUCCUCCGCCCUCGUGACGGAGGGCGCGCGCCGAGGAACGUCCGGGCUCCGCAGAGCAGGGUGGUGGGUAACACCCACCCGGAGUGAUCCGCGAGAAAGUGCAACAGAGAGCAGACCGCCGCACCGCGCACGUCGCGGGGCGGUAAGGGUGAAACGGUGGUGUAAGAGACCACCAGGGGCCCGAGUGAUCGGGCUCGCUGGGUAAACCUCGCCCGGAGCAAGGUCAGACAGGUGCCGAUGAGGUUGCUCGCCGAGGCACCGGGUAGACCGCUGGAGGGCUGCGGCGACGCAGUCCCGAGAGAGAUGGCCGUCCGGUCGGAUCGUGCCGCGAGGCACGGACGACCGACAGAACCCGGCGUAUCGGCCGACCCGUUCG